rnacentral:rRNA from 1 species
AGGGCACCACCAGGAGUGGAGCCUGCGGCUUAAUUUGACUCAACACGGGAAAACUCACCCGGCCCGGACACCGUAAGGAUUGACAGAUUGAGAGCUCUUUCUUGAUUCGGUGGGUGGUGGUGCAUGGCCGUUCUUAGUUGGUGGAGCGAUUUGUCUGGUUAAUUCCGAUAACGAACGAGACUCUAGCCUGCUAAAUAGGCAGUGGAUUCUUAGUCCACUGUACUUCUUAGAGGGACAAGCAGCGUCUAGCUGCACGAGAUUGAGCAAUAACAGGUCUGUGGUGCCCUUAGAUGUUCGGGGCUGCACGCGCGCUACACUGAAGGAAUCAACAUGCUUCUCAACCUUGCCCGGAAGGGCUAGGUAACCCGUUCAAACUCCUUCGUGAUUGGGAUAGGGAAUUGCAAUUAUUUCCCUUGAACGAAGAAUUCCCAUUAAGUGCGGGUCAUCACCUCGCGCUGAUUACAUCCCUGCCCUUUGUACACACCGCCCGUCGCUACUACCCAUUGGAUGUAGACGAGA